GAUGAACGCUGGCGGCGUGCCUAAUACAUGCAAGUCGAGCGAACAGACGAGGAUCUUGCUCCUCUGACGUUAGCGGAGGACGGGUGAAAAACACGUGGAUAACCUCCCUAACAGUCUGGGAAAACUACGGGACACCGGAGAAUAUACCGGAGGAGAUCUUGAACCACGGGGGGCAUUGGUGAAAGACGGUUUUUGUGGAAGGUAUCGAUGGAUCCGCGCCGCAUUAGGGAGUUGGUAAGGUAACGGCUUAUGAAGGCAACGCGGCGUAGACGAGCUGUGAGGCGGGUCGCCGACACUGGAACUUAGCCGGGGUCCAGACUCCUACGGGAGGCAGCAGUAGGGAAUCUUCCGCAAUGGGCGAAAGCCUUACGGAGCAACGCCGCGUGAGUUAUGAAGGUCUUCGGAUCGUAAAACCCUGUUAUUAGGUAAGAACAAAUGUGUAAGUAACUAUGCACGUCUUGACGGUACCUAAUCAGAAAGCCACGGCUAACUACGUG
rnacentral:rRNA from 1 species